rnacentral:rRNA from 1 species
GAUGAACGCUAGCGGCAGGCUUAAUACAUGCAAGUCGAGGGGCAGCAGGUCCCGCAGCAAUGCGGGAUGCUGGCGACCGGCAAACGGGUGCGGAACACGUACAGAACCUUCCUUUAAGUGGGGAAUAGCCCGGGGAAACCCGGCUUAAUACCCCGUAACAUAAUGAAGUGGCAUCACUUUAUUAUUAUAGCAGCAAUGCGCUUGAAGAUGGCUGUGCGGCUGAUUAGGUAGUUGGCGGGGUAACGGCCCACCAAGCCUACGAUCAGGAACUGGUGUGAGAGCACGACGAGUCACACGGGCACUGAGACACGGGCCCGACUCCUACGGGAGGCAGCAGUAAGGAAUAUUGGGCAAUGGACGCAAGUCUGACCCAGCCAUGCCGCGUGGAGGAUGAAGGUCCUCUGGAUUGUAAACUUCUUUUAUCUGGGAAGAAAUCUAUUUUUUCUAAAGUAGUUGACGGUACCAGAUGAAUAAGCACCGGCUAACUCCGUGCCAGCCGCCGCAGUAA